rnacentral:rRNA from 1 species
UACGAAGGGUGCAAGCGUUACUCGGAAUUACUGGGCGUAAAGCGUGCGUAGGUGGUGAGUUAAGUCUGUCGUGAAAGCCCCGGGCUCAACCUGGGAAUGGCGAUGGAUACUGGCUCGCUAGAGUGCGGUAGAGGAGAGUGGAAUUCCCGGUGUAGCGGUGAAAUGCGUAGAGAUCGGGAGGAACACCAGAGGCGAAGGCGGCGACCUGGACGGGCACUGACACUCAACUACGAAAGCGUGGGGAGCAAACAGG